AAGUUACAAAACUAGGGUUAUGUUUGUAUCAUUGUUGUCGUUUGUCGUUUCAUUUCAUUGUUUGUUUGUCCUAGUAUUUUGCCUUUUUUGGAUUCAUUUGGAUUUUGUUGGCUGUUUUGUGUGUAUUUUUUAAUACUUCUGUUUGUCAUUUGUAAAUUUAAUUUACCACAAUGCAAAGUGAUUAUUUAAGGAAAUUAUUAAUGGAAACUCCGCAGAUGUUUUAGAAAGAUAUUCAUUGAAGCUGAAAAUAAUUGGAGAUUUAGAUCCAUAUACAUACAAUUCAGUCAUCAGAAUUGGAUUUUACAGUGCAUUCCAUCAAUUACUGUUAUAAUGCUAUUAUAGAUAGACUGGUAGAGUCUCACAGUUACUGCUUUAAGCAGCAGAUGAAAGCAUACAAAAGCCUUCAGGCACAUAAAAGCCUUCACAACUGGAUUUGUUUUGAAACAUUGAUGUUUUGAUGAUUUCUAUAUUAUUGUUGGAAAGGUGAAGCAUUCCCAACAAGCUAAUGCUAAACCGCUAGAUGCUUCGGUGAAUAGCCAGUUCCAAUGGCAUAGCAAAUGCACAUUGUAUGUGUAUGGCCAGUAAUAGUGAAAUUUGCAGCCAUAUUGCAGCAAUCUUAUUUGCAGCUGAGUAUGCCCACAGCAAGACAGAAGAAGAAGAACCCAAUGCAUUUACAGAUGUUACAGCUAUG